GACGUAGGGCGCGAGCGUUGUCCGGAUUUAUUGGGCGUAAAGAGCUCGUAGGCGGCUUGUCGCGUCGACUGUGAAAUCCCGCGGCUCAACUGCGGGUCUGCAGUCGAUACGGGCAGGCUAGAGUUCGGUAGGGGGAGACUGGAAUUCCUGGUGUAGCGGUGAAAUGCGCAGAUAUCAGGAGGAACACCGGUGGCGAAGGCGGGUCUCUGGGCCGAUACUGACGCUGAGGAGCGAAAAGCGUGGGGGAGCGAACAGG
rnacentral:rRNA from 1 species